rnacentral:rRNA from 1 species
AACGAACACUGGCGGCAGGCCUAACACAUGCAAGUCGAACGCUGCAGCAAUGCAGAGUGGCAGACGGGUGAGUAACACGUGGGAAUCUUCCUAUCGGUACGGAAUAGCUCAGGGAAACUUGGGGUAAUACCGCAUACGCCCUUCGGGGGAAAGAUUUAUCGCCGAUAGAUGAGCCCGCGUCUGAUUAGCUAGUUGGUGAGGUAAUGGCUCACCAAGGCGACGAUCAGUAGCUGGUCUGAGAGGAUGACCAGCCACACUGGGACUGAGACACGGCCCAGACUCCUACGGGAGGCAGCAGUGGGGAAUAUUGGACAAUGGGCGCAAGCCUGAUCCAGCCAUGCCGCGUGAGUGACGAAGGUCUUCGGAUUGUAAAGCUCUUUUGGCGGGGACGAUAAUGACGGUACCCGCAGAAUAAGCCCCGGCUAACUUCGUGC